GGAGGGGGGACGGGGUGUGUCUCACCUGCCGUCCCCGUCUGUGGCGUGGCCUUCGCCUUGGGAGAACCUCUAGUGCCAAGCAUCAGAGUGAAGAGGGCUGGAGAGCUGGUGCCGCUCCCAGUAGGACUUCUGGUGACGUCGGAUGGGCUGUGGAUGGGCAGCUCUGCCUGCAGGCGCCAUCAGGGUGUCCCAGAGUCCUGGUACAGGCCAGGGGCCCCCCGCCACCUUCAGGAGGAGAGGAGGGGAGGGGGUCACGGCUGGACCAAGGAACUUGGUUGGACCUGCGUCUUGGGACCUGUGACUCCCUGCCCCCACACCUCCUCCACCGCCUCUUCCUGCAGAGUGGCUAUAGGGGAGGGCUGAGAGCCCAGGCUGAGGGCUUCUGUCCUGGGAGGGUGGAGGUGGCACAUGGGCAGCCUGGGCUUGUGUCUGUGGGCAGUUCUUCUGCAGAGGCUCCUUCCUGCCCGCCACCUCCUAUGUGCAGGUAUGGCACCGUCCUUGGCUGUUGGAGCCUGCGUCCUCUCAGGGUCCCUUGGACAGGACUUAAAAUUGUCCAUCUCAGUGUUCUCUCCCUAUUUGAGUCUGGCCCUGAGAAGCCUCAGGUGUCCCUAGGCCCAUUGGCUGGAGGCCAGAGCCGCUGCCACCCUGUCUCCCGGCCCACCUCCCUGCCUGCAUGGUGGGGCUGCUUUAGCAUUGGCCGCUGUCCCUAUCUGCCCCUGGUUUGGUGUUGGUGGGGGCGGCCACACCCCGAAGCACAUCCCACCUCUCGGACCCUCAGUGCCUCGUCCCAAUGGUGACGGCGCUUAAGAAUCAGGCUCAGGUUGUAUCCGUCUCCCUUGUAAAUCCCUUUGGUUUCAAAAGAGCUCUGGCUGGGGACGUCCCACCGCAGGUGGAAGCACUGGUCUGCAGUCCAGUGACGGGUGUGCUUUCCUGGAAACAGCCACAGUGCGGGACCCUGACGGCCAUCCCUGGGCCUGGUUGGCGGGGCGGGUGGGGGGCUGGUGCCUGUAAGGCUGCUGUUCCCUGUGUGGACCCUCCAUGCCGAGCCCCAAGGACCAGGGAACGCUGGCCGCUCCCACACCCCUCCUGAGGGUGGAGAGGUGUUUGCAGCAACCUGGCACCUUCUGGAUUGCACCAGGCUCGGGGCAGGUGCCACAGUGUCUGAGUCUGGCACACCGUGUGCGGAGGUGGAGACAGACAGCCACGUCCGGCAGAGCGUGUGCCAUUGCUGAGAACGGCAGCUGCGUGGCAGUUACUCGGAGCAGGCUCAAGCCGAGGGCAAGGUGGGGCCCUGGGGAGUCGCUGCGGCGGCCCGUGUUGGAAGGCUCCUGUGACACCUGGCCCUAGCCAAAGCCCUGCGGACACUCCUCAGGGUCUGGCUGCCACUCGCAGCGUGGGCACUGGUGAUGCCUUUGGUUUCCCACCCUGGUGCCCAGCCUGGCUGGUGCAUGGCUCAGGACUCCAUCCCCUCUGGAGGGCCAGGGGGUGAGGCGCGUGCUCUGGUCUCAGGCUCAGCUGUAGCCUGCUGUGGUUAGACGCAGCAGGGGCCAUGGCACAGCGGGACGGGGGAUGGCCCGGGCCCCUCGACUCUCCCCAAACUAGCCAGUGAGCUCGGCCCCCGUCCAGUCAGCCGAGAUGCUUUGAGGGCUGUGGAGGGUGGGCAGGGACAUUCUCUGGCCUGUGGUGCUCUCCAGUCUUGUUGGAGCCCCUGCUGGCCCACUGGGCUUCUGGUCAGUGGGCCUGGGCCAUUACUAGCCCACACCCGGUGAUGCUGAGGAUGUUGGCACAGCUGUGGGAUACUAGCAAAGUGGUGACCCCCAAGAGAGGUCUGGAUCUCCUAACCCCAGUACCAUGCCCGUGACCUUACUCGGGAAUGGGGUCUUUGUAAUUGUGUGUCUGGAGAUGCGGUGGGCCUGGGUUAGGGUGGACUGUGCAUAGAGUGACUGGUGUCCUUGGAGGAGGAGAGGGCAGAGGAGGUGUGUGCAGAUGGAGGCCGAGGCCGGAGGCAGGAGGACCCUCCCCGCGGGCCUGCGCUGUGGUUCUCUGCGUUGGCCUCCAGAGCUGAGGUGAGCAGCUGCCUGUCCUGGGCCAGCUGUGUGGGGUGGCUUCUCGGGGCAGCUCUGAGCCCUGAGCGCAGCCCUGGGGGACCAGGACUCGGAUGGCAGGUGCUGGGGCAGUGCUGAGGGACAGCAGUCAAGACAGCCAUCUGAACGUUUCUGUUUCCUGCUGUUUUCUUGAAGUGACCCAGGGAAACUUCUGGAACACCCCUGGCCUAAGCAGCCUGGGUCCAGGGGGAGCUCUUGAGGGCUGGCGGAGGGGUAUCUUGGUCUUUUCAAAAAGGUACCCACAAAGGCUGCCUGGGUCUGGUCAGUGAUGCCCGCUGGGCAGAGGGGUGCCCUUCAGUGACUUAGGGGGCUGUGUCAUUGGGAAGUGUCAUUGGGCACGUGGCUGGUUGGUGCUGACAGCUGCUCCCAGGGAGGCGCUGUUGGAGGGGGUCUGCAUUUCCAGUGAGCCCCGCAGCUGCUGGAUGUCGCAGUCAGCCACAGCAGUCUAAGGUAGGACCCCGGCAGGGCUGUGAGCCCCUCUGUCCCCCAGCACUGCCCCCCGCAGCCUGCACACGGGUCUGGGUCCUGACGUCAGCUGUCUCAAAAGCCAGGUCAUACCCCUUGAGGUUGCUGAGCACCCCCUAAGAUGAGGUGUGCUGGCAGCACCUGCAUGCAGACACAGUGACCAAGGGCAGGUGCUGCUGUCCAGCGGGUCCCAGUGGGGCCCGGGCAGGCCGGCAUUGGCAGCACCCUCCAAACCCACAAGACGCCUGCAGAGCGGCUUGGGUGACGGCGAGUGCGGGCUCCUCGUGACAUCCUGCUGCAGUGGGCCAGGUGCUCAGAGAUGAUUUGCAUACAGGUGAGGGCCUAGGGACUCGGAGGCCCCGAGUCCAGGCAGGGUCAGGCAGGACAGACGCCUGGAGAGCUGCCGUGCAGGGCCCGCGCAGUGCCUGGACAGGCCAGCAGGGGGCAGCCGAGCUCCAGUGGCAGGCGCUGGGACAGGCCAGGCCCUGCUUCCUCCCUCUGACCAGGGCAGGGUGUCCUCCGAGGGGCCUUCUUGGGCCCCGCACCUGGGCAGCAGUGCCCUCUGCGGCUCCACCUUUCCUCUCCUGUGCUCACUUCUCUGGCCCCAGGGGCCCCAGGGGAUCUGUGUGUGGCAGGGAUGUGUCCCCACGGCUGGCAGGAGGCCAUGCCAACAUUGUUGAAUUCGGGGCUGCUGGUCUCUCUGUGGGGGGACAGGGUGUGACGAGGCGGCUGCGGGCUCCCCCACUGAACGCGCUGGACACGGGGUGCAGGCAGUGCCAGGGCUGCUGGCUCAGGGACCCUUCUGGGUGGGCCUGGGGUGGCCCCUGGCCUGCCCUGCCUGCGAGCCACUGUGGAGGCACUCCGAUCCCGUCCCCCUCUGGAGGGACCUGUGUUGGGAGUCUGGGUGCUCGGCAGCGGGUGGCACAGGCCUUGGGGAUCUGCGGACUCCAGUUCCCUCCACCCUGUUUCCCCAGAAGCGUGGUCUCAGGUGGCUUCGCUAGCCGCCCCUUACCUGGCCCAUGGCAGGCUUGUCAGGGCAAAGAAGAGGGUCCACAUCCGGGACCCUGGCAGAGUGUGUCAGCCAGGGAUCUCAUUUUUGCAGCAGGGCCAUAGUUCCUGGGGGAAAGCCUGGGGUCAGAGGCCAUGCUGGACACUCCCCUUGAACAGGGAGGUGGCCGGGCAGUGGACUGAGGCUGGUGUGCAGGCUGCUCCGCCCGCUGCCUGACUUAGUCUUCCCGGGCUGUGCCGUGGUCUGGAGGGCAGACUCUCUGUUUUCCAUGGUCGAGUCCGAGGGCUGUGCCCUGGGUCCUGCUGGGCGUGUAGUAGGUGCUCAGAAAGCUUCUGUGGACGGAUGGACACAGGAGCAGUGGCCACCUGUGCCAGCGUGCUGCUGACCUGCUGGGUGGGUGAGGACCCAGGUGCCCUUCUUUUGCUGGCACCCACUGUGGGGCGUGAGGCUGCAGGUGGCCCUGGCAGCCAUUUGUGCCCUGUGACACGGACGAGGAGGUUAGCCAGGGGCCUGUGCAUGCUGCGGGGAAAAGGUCAAGUGAGCCCCUGGGCCACGCGAGCACUGGAGGGCCCCGGGACCCUUAACUCAGACUGGCCGUCGCGGGGCCCUCUGUAGUGUGCUGUGGCUGUCUCUCCGAAGAGAGUGCAUCUCGGAGUGUUCUGGACACAGCCAGCAUUGACACCCGUCUCUCUGCACCUGGGCUGGUGGCCUUGUGUCAGCCACUCACGGACAGAAGAAUGGCAUUGAUGUUGGGGACUGUCCCCAGUGAGGACGGGGAACAAGGGAAGUUGUCAUGGGGUGUCUGCGAAUGGUGGUGGCACUGUGACUAUGGUGGCUUGAGGGACCACUCACACUCAGGUGGGCUGAGCAUGUUAGACUCUGAACGGGUCAGGAAGUGGUAGGGUUAGGAGGAAGUGUGGGGCCUGCACACUAGUUAGGACCACUCUGGUGCUCAGGGGGCAGGGGGCCGUGGUGACCAGGGCUGAGCUGCAGGGACACAGCCUGAGCCCCUUGGCUCGUGGUGGACAGUAGAGAAGUCGCUGGCUCUUGCAGGCUGGAGGCCAGGGUCAUGGCCUGUGGAGUGCCCCCGGGAGGCAGUCUUAGCUGGGUCAGAUGCCUUUGGCAUUUUUAUGAGAUGCCAGGAAUGUUUGGGGUGCUUGGGGCCGAUGGUCCUGCGUUCCACCUGGUGAGUUGUUUUGCCACAUACCUGAACAGCAGUGACUGCGCGUGACGGCGGGCGUGUGGGGCAGUGAUCUCUGCUCCAGCCAGCAGCAGUGGCCAGCAGCAGGGAACCCCAGGCUUGAUGUGGAAAGUGGGGGAAUUGAAACUGGCAGAGGGCAGGGGGGCUCUGCCCAGCUGGUGUGGGCAGGAAGUGCUCCUUCCAGCCUCCGGGGCUGGGCACCCUGGCAGAGUGCUGGCUCCGCCUGGCUUUUCCUAGAAGAGAAUUCACCUCACCCCCAACCGGUCAGCACAUGCCAGGCCCAGCGUGCAGCGGGCGGGUGGGGGCUGACCCCACGCCCUUCUUCAGGCGCAGGGUGCCGGGUGCCCGGCUGGUCUCCUGGGGCUCCUGCAGGCUGGUGGCCUCAGCUGUGGUAGCAUGUCCUCUCAUGGUUUCAGAGGCCAGAGGCGCAAGGUCAGGCUGUGGGAGUGCCCCCCUCCGAAGGCGCUGGGAGGACCCUGCCUGGUCCCCCAGCUUCUGUGGCUCCCGUGUCCUCCGCCCUCCUUGGCUUGUGCCUGCACCUUUGCAGGCUCUGCUUCUGGUACCGUCGGGCCACCUCCCCCUGGGCCCACAUCUCCCUCCUCCUAGGAGGACGCCAGGUAUGUUGGGUUCAGGGCUACCCUCCUCCAGGUGGCCUCUGCUGAGUCCAGCGUGUUUCCAGAUCUGGACGUGACUCUGGGGGACGUUCACUGGCUGGCAGCGUGUCUCCCUGUUCACACGUGGGACACUUUCCCCAGCAUUCCUUGGAAUGGCUGAGUGUCCAGCGGGGAGGUGGACAGGUAAGGAGGGAGGAAUCAAGGGCAGGGUGACCACCUGCUGCUUGGUGGCUGUCUGGCCUUGGGCCAGUGACUCUGCCCCGACCCUGUUUCCAGGCUGGUUCCUGAAGCAGAGGGGCCGCGGCAGCGGUCGAGCAGGGCUGAGGGCUGUGCUGGAGGUGGCCACGUGCUCUGCCUGCUGCCUGCACAGGCUUCUGCCCCUCGGGGGCCGCACCCAUAGGCCUGGGAUGGGGCAGUCCCUCCCUCGCUGACCCAUGGUGAGGACAGAGGAGAAUAGGGCACAGUGUCCUCCCAGGAUCCUGCAGAGAUCAGUGUGGGCUCUGGAUCUCGGCCACUCAGAUGGUCAGGGGCCCUUGUGGAUCCCGCUCCUUCCUUGGGAACUGGGGGUCCUGUGGGCAGCGUCAGUGGCCAGUGCGUUGGGGUAAUCAGCCACACUGUGGAGCCAGGACCUGGCCUCUGCGGCCUCUUGCAUGGAGCUGGCCUGAGUGGCAGAUGCAGGGCCUCCUGCUUAGCAGUGUCCUGGAGCCCUUCUCUGACAAUGGCCAGCAGGACCCCAGGCCUGGCAGCCUCUGUGUCCCAGGAGCUGACACCAGUUUGUCUGUGGUGAGGAGACAGCCCUGAGCCAGCGUGACCCCAGGCGGACGAUGCCCUCGCCACACCAGUGCAGGCCCGCCUUGCCCUGCGCCCGCCCACCUGUGGUGGCUAGAGAAGCUCCCGUCACUUUCACAGGACCCCUGUGCUACUGUACACCUAGGCAGGGACCUGUGAGUCCCCUCGCUGUCCACUUCCCUGAAUGGGCCUGGACAAGAAGCACAGUGUCUUCAGGGAGCCCUGUUUCCAGCCUGCUGUGGUUGGGGUUUCAGUGGAUGGGCGGUCGCCCUGUGGUCAGCCCCAAACCCGUCUCUCCAUCUGGGUACGACAGCUCUGGCCUUGCCCAGCCUGGUGCCCGCACUUAUUCACCUGGCACAGAGAGGCAGCCAGUUCCAAGAAAGGGACUUUUGAUCCUUGGAGGCGGCUGCUUUUGCCAAAAGCCCCCGACGUCUCCGCCUGGCCCCGGCCCAAGCCUGCUUCUCAGGGCAGCUCCUCCGCCUGAGGCUGUUGGGAGACACCUUUGAAAAAUGGCCCUUGCUCUGGCUGGAGGGUGGCCGACUCAGUCCAGCCUGGCUCCUCCUUGGCUACCAGCCUGGGCCCAGGACGCAGAGCCAUAUGGCAGGUUCAGAAACCAAGCCAGGGCCCAAAUUCCUGCGUGGUGGCCCCGGAGCCCCUGCUCUGCCUGACCCGCAGCCUCCUAAGCCUCCCCGAGCUUGGGGUCAGGUGGUGGGGUGGCCUGCAUGCCCAGCUGGCCUGCACGCUGCCGCCAGCUCCGAGACCUAGGAUGCGCCAGGGAGUCUUGUCCUGCCGCCCUCUUGGGUUGUGACGUUCCACGGGGCUGCCUCUGCUCCGAGCCGGACGGCCCUGGUCCCUCCCCCUCCUGUCCUGUUCAGCCAUGCUGACGGGUCUUAAUGAGCCCAUCCUGAGCACUUCCUUGUGGACCCGUCUUGAGGAAGUGCUUGUGCACGGAGCACUUUCCCACAGCCAGGAGACAAUGUGCUGUCCCUUGCCAAGAAUCACAUUUGCCAUCCUUCGCGUCCUGAUGCUGGAGGUGAGCCUGGAGCCCGGCCAGGCCAGCCUGCCAAGCGCCCUCCAUUGAUCACUAUCAGGAUGCGUUUGAUUAAUAUCUGCCCUGGAUGGAGGCCCGCGCUUGGCCAGGCCCUGGUUCCCCGCUGCUGAGGGGCUCUGCGUGCCGGGUCUGGGUGGCGGCUGGUGGCGGCUGUGAGGCUGGUGCACGGGCCUCAGGCAGGUGGCCUGAGUGACAGUGCUGUGCUUGGCUGUGGCCGUGUGAACCUGCUCUCGGCUCGGCUGCCCAGCCUGGCUCUGUGUUUCCAGUUUACCCAGGUCUGUGAAGCAAAACCCAGCUGUCCAGUCCUGGAGUGCGGCUGGCCCUGCCUCCCAGGCUGGGUGGGAAAGGGCCUCUGGGCGAUUCUCUGAGCCUGUGGUCAGGGGACAGGAGCCCCUUCGAGCCUCCUGCCUUCUACAGACUGCCCCGGAGGGGACAGGCCAGGGGCUUCCACGGUCCAGUCCUCACCUGUCCAGUGGUUGGGUCAGGGGACAGCAGCAGUGUCCAGCUCCAUGGGGGCUGGCCACAGAAGGCCAGAUGGGGACAGAAAAUGGCAGCUGGAGGCUUUUGGGGACCUCAAUUUCUGGGAAGGAGAAAGAGGAUCUCAGCUGUGAAUGACGGCAGAGGGGACUGUGGGAGAGGGGCAGCUGUGUGGCCUGGGCGGGUGGCUGCCGUGUCCUGUCCGUGUCCAAGAGGCCCCUUGGCGGCGGAGUCCUGAGUCCUGAGCAGGGGUGAGCAGCCCGGGCUGCUCCCUUGCUGGAGAAGCUGGUGACCCCUGGCCGAGGCCGUCCAAUGAGCACGUUUCCCAAGCGGCCGAGGCUCUGGUCUCUCAGGAGUUGGGGUCUUUGACGCGGGAAGGGCCUGAGGGGCCUAGUGAGGCCCCUGGGGGGCCGGGCCGAGCUCUGCCGUGGCAGGGGUGGCUGGGUCCCCCUGCUGGGAGGGGAACUGGUGGCUCCCACACCCAGCGCUCCCCGGGGCGCGUCCAGGCUGGGUGCUGAGAACCCUGAGGACGGCCCUGGCCAGGUGCUGCCUGCCUCUCCUCUGAGCAGCGGUCGCUGAGAUCUGCUUGGACCUGGCCGUGAACUUGGCAGCAGCCCACGUCUGUGGGAGGGGGCUCCUCGGCUACCGGAGGGUCCCCAGCUGCGCCCACCCCCACCCGCCCUCUUACCUGUGCUGGCCUCCCAGCCUGGCGCCCUCCCCGCCCCCUGCCAGCCUGAGAUGCCGCGGCCCUCUGUGGACGUGCCCACGUCUCCACCUGGCCCCACCUCUCCACCUGUCCCCACGGCCCCACCACCUCUGGGGACCUUGUCCCUCCCCAGUGUGAAGCCAGCCCUGGCGGGGCCUGCAGGAACAGCCCCGCCCACCACCCAGGCACACCCGGGUCACAGCUCCUGCCUGUCACUGUCCUGUGCCAUGCCUCUUGGGCUCAGGGCAUUUGUCAUGUGCUAAAAACACGUGGAAGUCCUGACCCCCGGGACUGGUGGGCAUGGCUCAGGGGUCUUUGUAGGUAUGAUACAGGUGGGGGCGGUGGUUGAAUAUGGCUUGUUCUCCCCCCCAACUCAUGUUGGGAUCAAGGCCCUGUUGUGGGGCUUCAGAGGGCAAGGCCUUGGGGAGGAGACCAGGACGAGCUGAGGUCACCAGGAUGGACCCAUGAGAACACCACCAGAGGAGGUGUCUUGCCCAUCUACCAGAACUGUGAGCCCAAAUAAACCUCUUUACUC
rnacentral:lncRNA from 1 species